rnacentral:RNase_P_RNA from 1 species
GGAGCAGGUCGGGUGAUCGCUGUCGUCCAGACAGAGGAAAGUCCGGGCUCCACAGGACAGGAUGCCGGGUAACGCCCGGCGGGGGCGACCCCAGGGAAAGUGCCACAGAAAAUAAACCGCCAGCCGGAUCGCAGGAUCUUCUUGCGAUUGCUGGUAAGGGCGAAACGGCGUGGUAAAAGCACACCGCGCUUGCGGUAACGCAAGUGGCAGGGAAAACCCCAUCCGGAGCAAGACCAAAUAGGGGGGCGAUCAAGACGGUCCGUCCAGUCCCCGGGUCGGUCGCACGAGCGGUCUGGUAACAGAUCGACCAGAUGAAUGAUCAUCUCCCCGCUGUCCGCCAACAGCAGGAGACAGAACCCGGCUUACAGACCGGCUCCGGUC